AUGGUGCGCAGGGCACCAGGUGCAGAGCUUGGUUCAGCCUCAGAUCCAGAUGCUUCCCCUCCUGAAGAGCAGGGAGCAUGUGUUGGUCAAGCCGCAGAUCCUCACCCUCCAGCAGAGAGGGAUUUUUAUUAUGAGCUGUUCCAAGAACUUUCCCCGUCUGUCGUGACCGUCACGUGUGACCGUAGAAGUCAGACACAAUACGGGACUGGUUUUAUUCUUAUGUCUGAAAAUCAUAACUAUACUGUGGUAUAUACUAGCAACUCAUGGGUCAUAUCCUUCGACGGUGAACCAAAGACCUUCCAAGUCCAUUUUGAUGGAAACCACAAAAUAGUAGCUAGACAGUUGAACUCCUCUAAGGAAUACUUAAUCUUGGUUGUUCCUGAUGCACUAUAUCGCAGAUCUGUCACACUUAGUGAAGAACCUGUUGACCAUGAGAACAUUAUGACUAUUGGUGCAGUCGCUGGCGCUAGAUUACAUGAGAAUACUUCUGUGAUCAAUACACUGAUAGGCGUACUUGGAAGCUAUGAAGGAGAUGCCAUUACACCAUCUUGCACAGCAAGAGAUUCUGGAGGUAUUGAUGUGGAUGGAUCCGAAAGAUAUUUCCGAGUGGGAGCCUCCAUGAUGGAUCAUAUUGUUAAUUUGCAAAAUGUUGACAUUAAGAGUUAUACCGCACAUCAGAUUGAAUCAGCUCCGGUGUUCCGUUUAACCACGGGUGAAAUGGUUGGGAUAAUAUACUCGGCAGGUGAUUGGGGUGAUGUUAAAAUGGGACUACACAGUAGCGUGAUACUAUCUGAGCUAAAAGAAUUGUUUGUAAUCGACCCUGAUGACACUGAAAUUACCACUUGGCAGGAGGGUAUCAACCAGUCGGUGGAAGAGUUAAUGAAUGCUGGUCUCUAA
rnacentral:rRNA from 1 species